rnacentral:rRNA from 1 species
GAGUUGUUGCUGGUCCCCUUGGGGGGGCAUGUGCACGCUCUGUUUACACAUCCACUCGCACCUGUGCACCCUCCGUAGUUCUGUGGCCUGUGGGGCUUUGUCCUCCUGCUGUGGUUCUAUGUCUUUACACACACACUGUAAUCGAGUCCCAUGGAAUGUAUGUCGCGUUUAACGCAAUUUAAUACAACUUUCAGCAACGGAUCUCUUGGCUCUCGCAUCGAUGAAGAACGCAGCGAAAUGCGAUAAGUAAUGUGAAUUGCAGAAUUCAGUGAAUCAUCGAAUCUUUGAACGCACCUUGCGCCCUUUGGCCAUUCCGAAGGGCAUGCCUGUUUGAGAAUCAUGAAUACCUCAACUCUCAUGGCUUGCCAUGAUGAGCUUGGACUCUGGGGGUCUGCUGGCCUACAGCCAGCUCCUCUCAAAUGGAUCAGCUUGCCAGCGUUUGGUGGCAUCGCAGGUGUGAUAAUUAUCUACGCUUGUGGUCUUCCACCAGGUGACCUUUGGUGACAGAGGUCCGCUGGGGCUUAUAAAUGCCUCUCCUUGGUGAGGGCAGCCUUUGACCAUUUGAUCUCAAAUCAGGUAGGACUACCCGCUGAACUUA